CGAGGGUAAGCGAAUCACUUAAAGUGCGUCGUAGUCCGGAUUGGAGUCUGCAACUCGACUCCAUGAAGUCGGAAUCGCUAGUAAUCGCGUAUCAGAAUGACGCGGUGAAUACGUUCCCGGGCCUUGUACACACCGCCCGUCACACCAUGGGAGUGGGUUGCUCCAGAAGUGGAUAGUCUAACUUUCGGGAGGACGUUCACCACGGAGUGAUUCAUGACUGGGGUGAAGUCGUAACAAGGUAGCCCUAGGGGAACCUGGGGCUGGAUCACCU
rnacentral:rRNA from 1 species